GGAACACCGGUGUGAGUCCGGGACGGUCCCGCCACUGUGACGCUGGGGACAGCGAAGUCAGACCAC
rnacentral:ncRNA from 2 species